GACAGAGGGUGCAAACGUUGUUCGGAAUUACUGGGCGUAAAGCGCGUGUAGGCGGCUAUGCAAGUCGGGAUGUGAAAGCCCUCGGCUCAACCGGGGAAGUGCACCCGAAACUGCAAAGCUAGAGUCUCGGAGAGGAUCGUGGAAUUCUCGGUGUAGCGGUGAAAUGCGCAGAUAUCAGGAAGAACACCCGUGGCUAAGGCGGCUCUCUAGUACGGUACUGACGCUGAGACGCGAAAGCGUGGGGAGCGAACAGG
rnacentral:rRNA from 1 species